rnacentral:lncRNA from 1 species
AUAUAUAUAUAUAUAUUAUAUAUAUAUAUAUAUAUAUACACACACAUAUAUUUAUAUAAAUGGGUGUUCUAGUUCAUAAUCUAGAGAGGCACUAUCAAAGUAACUACCAAAGAAAUAUUAUUUAUGGUAUUUUGCAAACUGCAGGCAUGUUUCAGUUUGAGGAUUGUGAUUAAGCAAAUACUAAAAUUUAAAUAAUUUGUUUUACAAGAUGGGUGAGUGGUAACUCUCAGAAAUUCAAGGCGGAGAUGCUAGUUUUUAUUCAUCUUAUUAGACUUCUAUACAAAAUUUUGUCUUACUAGAUUUCUAUACAAAAUGUCUUUGUGUAACUAGCUCCACUAAAUUUUACUCAGUUCUCAUCCACCCAUUUCAUAUUUUAAAAAAAAUGUUUGAUUUCAGUAUUUGCUUGAUAAUAUUUGAAGAUAGAAACACAUCUGUAGUGUAGAGAAAAAUGACUCUAAUAUAUGUGUAUGUAUGCAGAUAUGUUAAUGUAUGUGUGUGUGUGUGUACAUGUGUAUUUUCUGUUAUAAUCUGGUUAAAACAAAGGACAGUGUUCAUGGUCUUUUUUCUGGGUCUUCAAGAAUAGUGUGUGGAAGGGAGGAAGUUUUUCCUCUGACGUGGGGCCUGACAGGAGUAUGUGUAGCAAAAUUGACUCUAUUGAAGGCACCCAUAGUCCACAUGAUAUUACCUUUUUACAUCUGUUUUUCCAUACUAGUAUAGGUUGGAUGGAUCAUCCAGGACUGGGUCUUUAUUCAGACAAAUGGUUUGUGACCACCCUAGAUUGGUCAUGAACCGUUUCUGACUGGUAUGUUCCAUUUUGACAUAUUUUAUAUGGUCAGUUGUCUUUCUCUUCACCAACCACUUUACAGAGUAUACUGGGAGCAUUUUAUCAUGCCACCAACACUGGAGAGGUAAUCACGUCCUUGAUUAAAGUGUUUGUCUCUCCUAUUUUAUCAUCUUCUGUUCACCAACUUCUUUACAGAAUUUACUGGGUGUAUUUUAUUGUGGCACCAACUCUAAAGGUUGUCUUGUUCCUUGUCACACUAAAGAGUUCUUUCCACUCUACAUUGUCUCUAUUUGUUCAUUCUCCUGAACCACGGAGUUUGUCUCAUUCUUGGCAGACAGAAGAGAGUGAUAAAAGAGAAUGAGAGUGAUAGAGUGGCAGAGGAGAGAGUAGCAAAGGAAUGGAAAAGAACCAGAGUGAUGGGAGAUGAGAGAAUUAUAGAAGAGAAAGUAAAAGAAAGUAGUGAUACACAACCACAUGAUGCUUGAAUGGAAAGAAGCAACAUGUGUGGCAUAAAGCGUGGUAGGAAGAAGACAUGGUGAUAGAAGAGCAGGUACUGGAAUUGGGAGGGAGAGAAUGUGAUGAUGUUAACAAUGUGAGAUAGAGGAGGAAGUGAUGUGAGAGAGAGGGAGAUGGAUAACAAUGAAGAUGGGUGGUGGUAAGAGUGUGAAGAAUGUCAACUUUGAGUAAGAGGGGAGAGAAUAAUAUAACUGAGAGUGAUUGAUAGAUAGGAAAGGGAGACUGAAAGCCAGUCAUAAAAGGGUAAAGAGAUUGAAUGCAGAUGGGUUUAUUGAACCAGGUGCCACCUCUCUACACAGUAGCUGUGUAAUGGGAGAUAGAAAAAUAACAGGGGUACACAUUAAUAGAAGAGGAGGAGGAAGGGGAUAGAUUGGAAAGUAUCAAAGAAAAGGAUAGAGCAGUAUUAUGGUCAGGAGAGUCUCAAUUUCCAUCACUGCCAUCAAUUUUAUUUGUUUUUCCAUGCCUGCAUGGGUCGGAUGAGUUCUCUCUAGUGCUUUGCUCCAAGUCAUGGUCCUUUGUGAGAUGCAGUCUCUUAAGAUUCUUCACCAUUUCACCUCAUGUCUUUCUUGGCCUCCUUGAACAUGUGUGUGUGUUUGUAUAUGCAUGUAUGUGUAUAUGUAUUAUGUAUUUAUGUCUGUUUGGAGGCCUUGUGAAGUCCAUGGACACAACCCCUUUUGCCAGCCCAAUUCAGGAUUAUUUAAAAUAGAGGUUAGACUUGUGUCUUCCGUUUUUAAUUCUUUCAAUUCUUCCUGUAAAGAAGGAAUUGAUUUCUUACAACAAGUCUCCAUCAUUUUGGAUUUCAGAAAGUCUUGAAUAUUUUUCACUCUUCUGCUUAUAGAUUCAGUUUUUAGAUUUUGAGUUAGUUUCUUUGUAUGAAAACUUCAUCAUUUCCAGAUUAUUAUUUAAAUAAUCCCAAUGAUUAUGGAUGUAAAUGUAGAUUCAAAAUCUGGGCAGAGUAGAGGUAGGUUUUGGGGGAACUGACUAUAUUUGAUCUUCAUCUCACUAAUUUCGAAUUAUCUGCUGAACAUCUGAUUUCAACAUCAGAUCAUUAAUUUUUGUUUUCUGUCCUAAUUAACUAUAUCAAAUCUAUUUUAUUUGAAUUUAGUGGAAGCCAUCAAUAUUUAUUCUUCAGAUAUUGGAAUGUAUAUGUGAAUUCAAAAUCAGAAAUAUUUUUUUUUAUAUUUGUCCUGGUGCAAUCCUUCCUGCAGUUGGCAUUAUGUACUAUUUAAGCAACAUUAUCAUGCCACAUAAGAAGGGAAUAAUCUUGACAUUUUGGGGCAGCUGCUGAUCAUGUGUAAUGUUUUUAACAGAUGUGUAAUAUAAUUAACAUUUUAAGUGCAUCUAGAGCUUCUAAGGUCUUCACUGUCUCUUUUGUUCAGAUAUUAACAGCAAUCUUUUUCUCUUGGAUGGCAAAAACUUAACCUUUGAAUUAUAAUGUGAAGUAAUAGUCACAGUUCUAAGAGAGGCGUAUUACCUGUUAACACUCAUCGUCAUCAUUUAAUCUUCUUCCAUGCUAGCAUGGGUUAGAUGGUUUAACAGGAACUGACAAGUCAGAAGACUGCACCAAGCUCUGCUGUCUGCAUUGGCAUGGUUUCUAUAGCAUGAUGCCCGUCCUAAUGCCAAUCACUUUACGGAGUGUACUGCCUGCUUAUCUAUCUAUCUAUCUAUCUUUAUAUAUGUAUAUAUAUAAUUUUUAUUAUGUCAUUAUUUCCAUGCUGGCAUAGUUUAGACAAAAGAUGUUAUGACAGAUUUUCCUUAGCCUGAUCAUCUUUUCUGACACCAGCUCAUUAGCUCUUUCUUUAAGUAAGGCAUUUUCAUUCCACUCUUCUUCACACAUCAAAACUGACAAAGCUGCUGAAACUACCGGACUUUUGUUCCUUGGAAAAAUUUUACAUUAUUUAUGCUCAACCAGUUAUAAGGAAGAUGCAUGGAAGCAAUAUUCUUACACACACACACACAUGUCCUUAUAUACAUUCAUACAUAUAUGCAUAUAUUUUUUAUUCAUACAUUACAAUGGCGCCUCUACAGCUUAUAUAUAUAUAUAUAUAUAUAUAUAUAUUGUUAUACAAGUUUAUUUGCUGUGAAGAUUAUAGUAUUUAGUCUCAUCAAUUCAUUACCUGAAUAUGAGGAAAUUAAGACUAAACCUCAAAUAGAAGCAAGUAGAGUGGUUUGUUGGGGUGAGAAACUCAGGGAGUGAGUUGACAAAGGAAAAGUGUCA